UACGUAGGGGGCUAGCGUUGUCCGGAUUUAUUGGGCGUAAAGAGCGUGUAGGCGGUUUGGUAGGUCCGCUGUGAAAACUCGAGCUCAACCUCGAGACGCCGGUGGAAACCAUCAGACUAGAGUCCGGAAGAGGAGAGUGGAAUUCCUGGUGUAGCGGUGAAAUGCGCAGAUAUCAGGAAGAACACCCGUGGCUAAGGCGGCUCUCUAGUACGGUACUGACGCUGAGACGCGAAAGCGUGGGGAGCGAACAGG
rnacentral:rRNA from 1 species